CCUACGGGGGGCAGCAGUGAGGAAUAUUGGUCAAUGGGCGGGAGUCUGAACCAGCCAAGCCGCGUGAGGGAAGAAGGUACAGCGUAUCGUAAACCUCUUUUGUCAGGGAACAAAGGCGGGGACUAGUCCCCGGAUGAGGGUACCUGAAGAAAAAGCAUCGGCUAACUCCGUGCCAGCAGCCGCGGUAAUACGGAGGAUGCGAGCGUUAUCCGGAUUUAUUGGGUUUAAAGGGUGCGCAGGCGGCCUGUUAAGUCAGCGGGAAAAGCCCGGGGCUCAACCCCGGCGAGCCGUUGAAACUGGCGGGCUGGAGUUGGAGAGAAGUACGCGGAAGGCGCGGUGUAGCGGUGAAAUGCUUAGAUAUCGCGCAGAACCCAGAUUGCGAAGGCAGCGGACCGGCUCCACACUGACGCUGAGGCACGAAAGCGUGGGUAUCGAACAGGAUUAGAUACCCGGGUAGUC
rnacentral:rRNA from 1 species